GUCCGGGGCUCCUCGCGCACAGCGAGGUCUCCGGGAAACCUAUCCGCCCUGAAAUCCUAGGCUGCCUCUCUCUGCUCCCCUUCACCGGGCACAGUUCACCACGCCCCGAGGCCUGGACUCUCCUCCCACCGCCAGACGUCUGUAACAGAGGAGGAAACAUCGCGGAGAUGACGUCACCUCGAAGCCACAUUACAGGUUGGCCAUUGCCGCUGUCCCCACCGCAGGAAGCAGACACUGAGAUCAAGUUGCUUGUGUGACAUCAAAGAGCAAUGAGUGACCUUGUUCUCUGGACCACAUUACUAGGAAAGCACCGAGGUGGGACCGGGAUAAUCAGAAAGGCUUCCCGGAGGAGGUGACUUUAAUUCGGGUUUCAAUGACUGAAUAGGAGUUCUGAAAUUUAAGGAGUAAAUAAUGGAACCAAAGAGAAGUCCAUAAACCAAAGCAUAAGGGGCUAGAAGAGCCCAGCAAGGACUUUCCCAGUCCAUCCGGAGCACCCAGGUGGGCAUCGUGCCGCUAUUUGACAGAAGAGGCCAGACAGGCAGUCAGACUGUGAAAGUAAACUUUGUCCACAUUUUUGUGAUGACUGAUUUUUUUCCAGUACUGGAUACUGAACCCAGGGCCUUUGCACUAACCUACACUCUAGCCCUUUAUUUUUUAUUUCAAGAUAAUGUCUCACCUAGUUGCCCAGGCUGAAGAAGUUGCUGCCACUCCCUACCCCACCUCUUGGGAUGCUCUUCCCACUGCCCAGCGCCUGC
ensembl:lncRNA